rnacentral:misc_RNA from 1 species
AAUAUUAGAUUAAAUAUUCGUGAUUCUUAUUACAUUUAUUUCAAUUAUUUCUUUCCUAAUGUAAACAAAAAUUAAGGAAAGGGAUUACCCUUUGCAUGUUUAACAGCUGUUUAAACUCAAUCGACGAAAGGCUUAUAUCUCGGUUAUUGCAUUUUCAGAAUUUCUUGUAUUACUUUGUUUAGUUCCGGAGCGGUAAUAACUCUUACUGCAUCUUUUGAUUAAGCAUAACAGUAAACUUUUAGUUUAAAUUAAAUUAUUACUGGACACUUGUUUAAUUUAAUGCUUUGGACUUGAUGCUAUGGAAGAUAAAUAUUCAUUAGGAAAUUGAAAUGAUGCUUAAUUGACAAAUUAUUGACUGCGAUGCU